rnacentral:rRNA from 1 species
GGGGGGGGGGGGGGGGGGGGGGGGGGGGGGCGGGUCGAGGGAGGCUCGUAGGAGUGGUUCUUCGGAGGCCGUCUGUUGUGCCGUCGUGGCGGGCGGGGGGGUAACGCGUGGGUCACCUGCCUCACACGGGGGGGUACCCAUUAGGCAUGACUGCCAAUACCGCCUAACCCGCUCCGCUCGCAUUAUCCCGACGGCACAGAUUUCUCGGUGUGAGAUGGACCCGCGUCUGAUUAGCUAGGUGGUUAGGUAACGGCCCACCAGGGCGACGAUCAGUAGCCGGCCUGAGAGGGUGAACGGCCACAUUGGGACGGAGACACGGCCCAAACUCCUACGGGAGGCAGCAGUGGGGAAUAUUGCACAAUGGGGGAAACCCUGAUGCAGCGACGCCGCGUGAGUGAAGAAUUAUUUCGGUAUGUAAAGCUCUAUCAGCAGGGAAGAAAAUGACGGUACCUGACUAAGAAGCCCCGGCUAACUACGUG